rnacentral:lncRNA from 1 species
GAUAAGGACGAAUCAGAAAAGAGAUGAUAUAUAUUAUAUUCAAAAAGCUACAACUUCCUUUAUCUUCCCUUGUAAUUUACUAUUUUACUAGUACUUACUUGAUUUAUUUUGUUGAGAUAUAAUCAUCUCCAAAGUGCAGAGUAAUCUUGAUUCUUUUUGGUUCUAAAUAAAGAUUUCAUAUAGUAUGGUUGGUGAGGAUGAGAUAUCGAUGCAUCUGAAUUGCUUGAUUUCAUUUGGCUGACAGGUAAGCUGCGGACGAUGACAGGUGAGCUAUGUAAUACCAGAAAUGGCUUAUGAUUUGAAAUUUGUUCGAACUUCUCACAUGAACCAAUGAAAAAACUCUUCUCAUAUAGACUCAAACACACGAAUCACAUAUAAUAAUGUUAAUAAAGCUCAGAUUGAAAGAGACAGAAGAUCAGACUUUCGUCAAUGGAAGGUAUUCAUUGCAUUGCACAUCUAUAUAUAUGUCUAUCUUUGUUUAUAUCUUCGGGGGAGUUGUUGUUGUGCAAGCCAGCUUUGUAUCAUUAUGAUAUGUGCCUCUUCAUUGUGUUUUUUUUGUUGUUUAAAGGACUAUACUUAAAAUGUUAGUUUCAUGCAACUUUUGAUAUGCAUGGUGCACUUACAAACACAAACAAGCACAAUAUCUGGAUUUAGCAAACUAAUCAACUAAUUUGUUUCUCGUGAAUAUGAUUGCCUUACUUCUCUUAUAUGCUUACUUUAUUGACACAAGUGAUCGAUGAUGAAAUUAGCGGGAUAAAUGACAGAUGAUUGCAUUUAUUUUGUUAACUGUGAAAAGUAUUUUACAGUUCACCUUACAAAGAAAAAAGUGACAUUCUUUAUCAGAAUAUUGUUAACUUGAAAACAUGUGUAUGAUAUAAUAUAUUGGUGUUUAGUAGCCAAAUGUAAUCCUUUGUGAUACAGAACCAAAAAAAAAAAAACAUAUCCAUGUAAUUAUAUGCCUAAAAGGCUAAACCAGACCACAAAUGUGAAUAUUAAAUUGAAACAACUACUGAACAUGUUUUACAUAAACUACAUGAUUAGUAUGGAUUAGCUGUAGUACCCUGUGUAUUUGGG